GAUGAAGAACGCAGUGAAAUGCGAUAAGUAAUGCGAAUUGCAGAAUUCAGUGAGUCAUCGAAUCUUUGAACGCACAUUGCGCCCUGUGGUAUUCCGCAGGGCAUGCCUGUUCGAGCGUCAUUUCAACCCUCAAGCCUCGCUUGGUGUUGGGCCCUGCCCGCCGCGGCCGGCCCUAAAGAUAGUGGCGGCGCCGCCUGGCCCUCAGCGUAGUACAGCUCUCGCUCCAGGGUCCGGCAGCAGCCUGCCAGAACCCCCCAACUCUGUGGUUGACCUCGGAUCAGGUAGGGAUACCCGCUGAACUUAAGCAUAUCAAUAAGCGGAGGA
rnacentral:misc_RNA from 1 species